rnacentral:rRNA from 1 species
GAUGAACGCUGGCGGCGUGCCUAAUACAUGCAAGUCGAGCGAACGGACGAGGAGCUUGCUUUUCUGAUGUUAGCGGCGGACGGGUGAGUAACACGUGGAUAACCUACCUAUAAGACUGGGAUAACUUCGGGAAACCGGAGCUAAUACCGGAUAAUAUUUUGAACCGCAUGGUUCAAAAGUGAAAGACGGUUUUGCUGUCACUUAUAGAUGGAUCCGCGCUGCAUUAGCUAGUUGGUAAGGUAACGGCUUACCAAGGCAACGAUGCAUAGCCGACCUGAGAGGGUGAUCGGCCACACUGGAACUGAGACACGGUCCAGACUCCUGCGGGAGGCAGCAGUAGGGAAUCUUCCGCAAUGGGCGAAAGCCUGACGGAGCAACGCCGCGUGAGUGAUGAAGGUCUUCGGAUCGUAAAACUCUGUUAUUAGGGAAGAACAUAUGUGUAAGUAACUGUGCACAUCUUGACGGUACCUAAUCAGAAAGCCACGGCUAACUACGUG